rnacentral:rRNA from 1 species
UGAGCAAAAUCUCAACUUUAUUAGAAGAGACGCAUUUAUUAGAUAAAAAGCCAGUUCAUGCUUUUACAGUAUGAAAAUUGGUGAUUUAUAAUAACUUAGCAAAUCGCAAAGUGAAAACAGGCGAUAAAUCAUUCAAGUUUCUGACCUAUCAGCUUUCGACGGUAUGGUAUUGGCUUACCGUGGCAGUGACGGUUAACGGGGGAUUAGGGUUCGAUUCCGGAGAGGGAGCCUGAGAAACGGCUACCACAUCUAAGGAAGGCAGCAGGCGCGCAAAUUACCCAAUUCUAACAGUUUGAGAGAGGUAGUAACAAGAAAUAACAAUACAAGGCAGUUAAAAUGCUUUGUAAUUGGAAUGAUAGAAAUUUAAACCCUUUUUAAAGUAUCAAUUGGAGGGCAAGUCUGGUGCCAGCAGCCGCGGUAAUUCCAGCUCCAAUAGCGUAUAUUAAAAUUGUUGCAGUUAAAAAGCUCGUAGUUGAAGUUCUGCUGAAAGUAACCGGUCUGCUUUUAAUAAAAGUGGUAUCUUGGUAUGUAUUUAGCAAUGAUGUCCUUUG